GCGGUCGCUUCGCUCUGUGGGCCGCCAUGUUUGUUUUGCUAUCCCGCACUGUUACAGCGGCCGCCGCCUGUUGGUCGACCUGUUGUCAUCCCGCAGCAACAAGCUGCCGACGCAUUCCCAUAAUUCCUGAAAAAGCCGUGUCGCCGCCAUCCCAGUCGCUUGUCACGGCGUCACUCGACACCACGUUUUUUUGGCUGUGCUUUGUGAUCGUCUGUUGAAGCACCGUUUCACCAUGGGGCGGUAUGCGAGCUUUACUGCCGCGUUCAAGCUGAAGGCUUUUGAUUAUGUGCUAGAGCACGGAAACCGCGCUGCCGGCAGACAUUUCAGCGUCGACGAAAUCCGGAUCCGAUAUUGGAAAAAACAGCGCGAGAAGCUCAUGGCUACGAACAGCACGCGCCGGGCUUUCCGCGGAUCCAAAACGGGCAAGUUCCCUGACAUCGAAAAGGCAGUCCUCGAAUACGUGAGGGACAUGUGCAAAGACGGUUGUGCCGUGUCGUUAGACAUGGUACGGACGCAGGCGCGCACAGUUUCCCGGAGGCUGGGAAUAGCCACAAAGGACUUCCGCGCCAGUUCCGGCUGGACGACACGCUUCAUGCGGCGGAAUGGACUAAGACUGGCAUUUCCAACGCGCUCGACGGGACAGAAGAUGACCGUCUGUGGGACAGUGAAGACACUGCCGAUUCCGACAGGGAAUCGUGCGGCGACGACACUGACGCCAGUGACGCUUCGGACUCAGAAUGAACGUUAGGGGGUCAGAGAGUUCAAAAAUAAAAGGGCAGUGUUCCAUGCAUGUA